AGAGUUUGAUCCUGGCUCAGGACGAACGCUGGCGGCGUGCCUAACACAUGCAAGUCGAGCGGGAUCCAUCCAGUAGCAAUACUGGGGAAGAUCUAGCGGCGAACGGGUGAGUAACACGUGAGAAACCUGCCCCGAAGUCUGGGAUAACAGGUGGAAACACUUGCUAAUACCGGAUGCCGUCGGUGAGUCGCAUGGCUCACUGACGAAAGGGUCACCGGAUCGGGAGGGUCUCGCGGCCUAUCAGCUUUUUGGUGGGGUAACGGCCUACCAAGGCAUCGACGGGUAGCUGGUCUGAGAGGAUGAUCAGCCACACUGGGACUGAGACACGGCCCAGACUCCUACGGGAGGCAGCAGUGGGGAAUCUUGCGCAAUGGGCGAAAGCCUGACGCAGCAACGCCGCGUGCGGGAAGAAGGCUCUCGGGUUGUAAACCGCUUUCAGUAGGAACGAAACUGACGGUACCUGCAGAAGAAGGUGCGGCCAACUACGUGCCAGCAGCCGCGGUGACACGUAGGCACCAAGCGUUGUCCGGAUUUAUUGGGCGUAAAGAGCUCGUAGGCGGUUCAGUAAGUCGGGUGUGAAAACUCUGGGCUUAACCCAGAGCCGCCACUCGAUACUGCUGUGACUUGAGUUCGGUAGGGGAGUGGGGAAUUCCUGGUGUAGCGGUGAAAUGCGCAGAUAUCAGGAGGAACACCGGUGGCGAAGGCGCCACUCUGGGCCGAAACUGACGCUGAGGAGCGAAAGCGUGGGUAGCAAACAGGAUUAGAUACCCUGGUAGUCCACGCCGUAAACGUUGGGCACUAGGUGUGGGUUUCAACCAACGAGAUCCGCGCCGUCGCUAACGCAUUAAGUGCCCCGCCUGGGGAGUACGGCCGCA
rnacentral:rRNA from 1 species